rnacentral:rRNA from 1 species
UACGUAGGGUGCAAGCGUUGUCCGGAAUUAUUGGGCGUAAAGAGCUCGUAGGCGGUCUGUCGCGUCUGCUGUGAAAACUCAGGGCUUAACCCUGAGCUUGCAGUGGGUACGGGCAGACUAGAGUGGCGGUAGGGGAGACUGGAAUUCCUGGUGUAGCGGUGAAAUGCGCAGAUAUCAGGAGGAACACCGGUGGCGAAGGCGGGUCUCUGGGCCGUAACUGACG